CCAUGGACCACCACAACUCACACAAAAUGGCCGAAGGUAUUUGUGGAGCCGAUUUGCCUGAUUACUCGGAUAGUGCAGAAGAUGAGAGCAGCUGGAAUAAGUGAUUAAUUAUAAUCAAGCCAUGCACCUUCGUAACAACACUGAUUGCAAUUUCUCUCAACUGACACACUGGAAUUCACGUAAAGACAAUCUGGCAAAAGGGACAUUUCACGUAACAAUAUACAACGUAACAUUUGGAAAAUCCAAGAUGGCGGAUGUUGACAUGUUUGGUUCGUAGCACUCGAGACGA